rnacentral:rRNA from 1 species
GAUGAACGCUGGCGGCGUGCCUAAUACAUGCAAGUCGAGCGAACAGAUGAGGAGCUUGCUCCUCUGACGUUAGCGGCGGACGGGUGAGUAACACGUGGAUAACCUACCUAUAAGACUGGGAUAACUUCGGGAAACCGGAGCUAAUACCGGAUAAUAUAUUGAACCGCAUGGUUCAAUAGUGAAAGACGGUUUUGCUGUCACUUAUAGAUGGAUCCGCGCCGCAUUAGCUAGUUGGUAAGGUAACGGCUUACCAAGGCAACGAUGCGUAGCCGACCUGAGAGGGUGGUCGGCCACACUGGAACUGAGACACGGUCCAGACUCCUACGGGAGGCAGCAGUAGGGAAUCUUCCGGCAUGGGCGAAAGCUUGACGGAGCAACGCCGCGUGAGUGAUGAAGGUCUUCGGAUCGUAAAACUCUGUUAUUAGGGAAGAACAAAUGUGUAAGUAACUAUGCACGUCUUGACGGUACCUAAUCAGAAAGCCACGGCUAACUACGUG